AAAUUUUAGUUAUGAAAAUCCGGUUCUACAAAUAUUAUUCUGGAAAUUUCAAAAAACUUGUUUUAUAAGAUUUCAAUAAAGUCAAUUUUAACAAAAGUUAAAAUGUCAUGUUAUAAGUCACGAAGGUGGAGUUGGAAAUUGUGGGGUUAUAGGAAGGAAAAGCCUAACCCUUCAACUUGGACUUAAGCCCGUCAUAAUCAAUUGACCAAAAAAUGAUACCAUCACGAAUACUAUCACCUUGAGUAGGGUGUUGCUCCCUGCACCUCCCCAAAUACUUCCUCCACCUCCCCAGUAUCUUUUUAUUUCAAAAAUGCCCUAAUCUCUUCACUUUUUUUUUUUAUUUAAAAAAACCUACACCUCUUUUUACCAUUCACAGAAAUUGAAAUCCGUUUACAAUUAACACCUUUGCACGCUUUUUAUUACUAUCAACUCUUCGUUUUAUUAAAUUUUACCUAAAAUUGCAUUAAUUAAGAUUUAUGGUGACCUUCUAGUUUCUUAUCAUUUAUUUUUUCUCUCCCAUCUUUCCCUUUCUUCUUCCCGCUGCCCCACUACACUCAUCUCCAUAGCUCUCUACUCUACUCUCAUGAACAACACACCUCCCUCUCAUUCUCUCACAGUUCGGUGCUCCUACCUCAGGUUGCUUUGCCGAUUGUUGCACCUCCAUGGCGAAUAACGGUCCAACAGAACCUCCAUCACGCAAGAUUAAGUAAAANCAUCAAAUUAGAAAGGUCAUUGGCAUCUCCGACUAUCCCUAUUCUGCACUCGAGGGCGUUCGAAAGGUCAUCACUAGCCACGAACGUCUGCUAGCCACC
rnacentral:lncRNA from 1 species